AGCGGGUGGCAGACGACCGCUGAAGUUUCUUGGGGAGCAAUUCGCAGGGCACUUCAGAGGAAAGUCCGAACACCUCCGGACAGCACACCGUGGAGAACACGCGGGCAUGCGCUUUGAAAAGGGCGUGUGACGGAAAGUGUCACAGAGAAAAUACCGCCCUGCGGCGCAAGUCGUUGGGUAAGGGUGAAAAGGCGGGGUAAGAGCCCACCGCUCGCCGAGCAAUCGGCGGGGCAUGAAAAACCCUGUGCGGUGCAAGACAGAACAGGGGAAGAGGCCGCCGGCUUCGCAGU
rnacentral:RNase_P_RNA from 1 species